rnacentral:rRNA from 1 species
UACGUAGGGGGCAAGCGUUGUCCGGAAUCAUUGGGCGUAAAGCGCGCGUAGGCGGCUCGGUAAGUCCGUUGUGAAAGUCAAAGGCUCAACCUUUGAAUGCCGAUGGAUACUGUCGAGCUAGAGUCCGGAAGAGGCGAGUGGAAUUCCUGGUGUAGCGGUGGAAUGCGCAGAUAUCAGGAGGAACACCAAUAGCGAAGGCAGCUCGCUGGGACGGUACUGACGCUGAGACGCGAAAGCGUGGGGAGCGAACAGG